rnacentral:rRNA from 1 species
CGGGCACUCUAAGGAGACUGCCGGUGACAAACCGGAGGAAGGUGGGGAUGACGUCAAGUCAUCAUGGCCCUUACGGCCUGGGCUACACACGUGCUACAAUGGUCGGUACAAAGGGUUGCCAAGCCGCGAGGUGGAGCUAAUCCCAUAAAACCGAUCGUAGUCCGGAUCGCAGUCUGCAACUCGACUGCGUGAAGUCGGAAUCGCUAGUAAUCGUGAAUCAGAAUGUCACGGUGAAUACGUUCCCGGGCCUU